GCGGUGUUCGGAUCACCGCAAUAAGAAUCUCUUGACACCUGCAUUGAUGGGCCUCCUGAACAAGAACUGUGACUAUAAAGGCGGAAAUGAUCUCCGGCGAUGCCGGUAUAGUUCAGCCUUGCAGUCGGAUCAUUCGCUCAGCUACAUCCCCCAUCAUCCCGGCCAUCCGUCUUCGCGAUGCGUAUCCCCCGGACCGCCAACUGCGGCUGUUCACUCGCAACAAGAUUUUAUUCAGCACGUGCUGCGCGCUACGACGUUUUCGCCGAAUUAACCAGCAGUAGUAUCGAUCCGUCGGCGUUUCUCGCUGCUUAUCCGACGAGCAAUUCUUUCUGUACUGGCACAUAUGCCGUUUCUCCGCACUAUCCCUUUAAAUUCCAGUUAAGCCGAUUCCCAGUUUAUUUUCCCAACCUUUUUCCUUGUUUAAGCGUUCUUCAUCCACUAGUGGGCCUGGAGAGUUGUUGGCUAACUGAUUAUGCUGGUUUCCGAAUCGGUACCAUGCCUUUGGGAAAACUUCUUCUUCUCCCUAUACACAGGCCGGAAUACUCCUUAGAAUCGGACAGUGGUCUGUAUGAUCCGUUUGUAGUGGAUAUACUGGGAGCGUCCGGUGCACUGAUGCGUGGGUAUGUCUGUGAUGUGGACGAGCACGACGUGUCCGUUAGGCUGGACGCCCACACGGUGCAGCAUGCCGCGUAUGGUGAUGUGUGGAGUGUUAAAGAUCCCGAUUUCGAUGAAUCCACGACGGACCUGAACUCGGGCGAUAUCGAAGUUCGCAUCGACCUCCAGGACAGCGGCGUGGCGGCGUGGACGCCGGCUCGCUUGGUGGACAGCAUUCGCUGGGCGGAGACCGAAUGGUACCUCCGUUCAUCUCCUGCUGCGACAGUGUGCCUUCGAUGCGAAGAAGUCAAUUAACUUGCCUGUAGUAUGUCGUAACGGGGGGACGGAGGGCGUGGACCGCGAUCUGUACACCCGAUACACAGACACCUUCUUUCUCAACGUGCCUCGUUGGUCGUUCAGUGUUGCCGGCACAACGACAGCGGAUUACUCGGCUUCCGUUCGCCGAAUGUUCGAAGUGUGCUGUCCGGAACUGGAGGGCACACAGCUGCAUCGUCUGCUGUAUGGCUUAAACGCUUUCACAGUCCCCGAGCAUCUGCCGGAGGAAUUACAUCUGGGCGUUUCUGAGCGUCUCUUUUAUGCUGUGGAACAGUCCGCCUCCCGAUACCAUUUCUGACAUCCAGACGGCCAUUAUGACAGAGUCGCCUCAGCGAAAACUGGUGACCCAAACGCUGCAUUUAUUACCAUUUUUGCAGUAAAUGCGGUAAAAAGACGUUUUAUUGUUGUUUUCGUAUUUUAAUUCUCUUUGACCACUCGUCGUUUUGAUGACCAUCACAAUACAUCAUUGCUCAAAUACUUGUUGAGAUUGAUCGUUUGAGCAGUUGGCAUAUUCUGUACAAUUUUUCUCUCAGCUGUUAUAAGCGGCAAUGGUUAACAUGGGAGUGCAAAACGGUUACCAUGCGUGUGAGUCCGACAUGGUCAUC